rnacentral:rRNA from 1 species
UACAUGUGGGGCAAGCGUUGUUCGGAAUUACUGGGCAUAAAGGGUGCGUAGGCGGCUUGUUAAGUCAGGGGUGAAAUCCUGGAGCUCAACUCCAGAACUGCCUUUGAUACUGGCGAUCUCGAGUCCGGGAGAGGUGAGUGGAACUGCGAGUGUAGAGGUGAAAUUCGUAGAUAUUCGCAAGAACACCAGUGGCGAAGGCGGCUCACUGGCCCGGUACUGACGCUGAGGUGCGAAAGCGUGGGGAGCAAACAGG